rnacentral:rRNA from 1 species
CAGAACGAACGCUGGCGGCAGGUCUUAGGCAUGCAAGUCGAACGGAUGACAGAGAGCUUGCUCUCUGAAGUCAGUGGCGCACGAGUGAGUAACGCGUGGGAAACUGCCCUUCACUGGGGAAUAACGUUUGGAAACGAACGCUAAUACCGCAUACGCCCGCAAGGGGAAAGAUUUAUCGGUGAUGGAUGUGCCCGCGUUGGAUUAGCCAGUUGGUGGGGUAAUGGCCUACCAAAGCAAUGAUCCAUAGCUGGUCUGAGAGGACGAUCAGCCACGCUGGAACUGAGACACGGUCCAGACUCCUACGGGAGGCAGCAGCUAAGAAUAUUGGGCAAUGGAGGAAACUCUGACCCAGCCAAUGCCGCGUGAAUGAAGAAGGCCUUCGGGUUGUAAAGUUCUUUUAGUCAUGAAGAUGAUGACAGUAGUGACAGAAAAAGCACCGGCUAACUUCGUGCCAGCCGCAGC